GGCCACCUAGAAAACCAUAUGUACAAAUUAGCAUGAAACUUGAGACUUGAUGUCUUUGAUUGCUAUUGCUUGUGCCGUGCUUUAACUGAAGGAAGCAUGGGGCGUGCCACACUGGUGGCUCGGGCGAUCGUUCUCUUGCUCUCGGGCCUCUCCUUGAUACUUCAUCAAACUACAGUCGCUGCGAUCAGGCUACACGACCAUCGAAGACCAUCGACGGCGCUGGCGACGAAGGAUCAGAAGAUGCCCUGGUGGUGGGAUCGGGAUUAUGUCCGUGUGGGCAGGCGAAAGCCGAUCAACAAUCGGUUCACUCCGUGAGCUCGAUCGAAUAGGAUGGGUUGAAGCUCUUGAACAGCUUGAGCACGAGGGCGAGAUUACGUCGGAAGCAUUGAUCACGGCAUGU